UACGGAGGAUGCAAGCGUUAUCCGGAAUUAUUGGGCGUAAAGCGUCCGCAGGUGGCAAUGUAAGUCUGCUGUUAAAGAGUCUAGCUCAACUAGAUAAAAGCAGUGGAAACUACAUAGCUAGAGUACGUUCGGGGCAGAGGGAAUUCCUGGUGUAGCGGUGAAAUGCGUAGAGAUCAGGAAGAACACCGGUGGCGAAGGCGCUCUGCUAGGCCGUAACUGACACUGAGGGACGAAAGCUAGGGGAGCGAAUGGG
rnacentral:rRNA from 1 species